rnacentral:rRNA from 1 species
AUGCCGGUCCUACGGAUUGGAUCGUCCAUCUCGGUAGGGACGGGCACCAACACCCUGUUCUGGCUUGACCGUUGGUCGGGUGAUAGACCAUUCGCCCAACGUUUCAAUGCGCUAUUUACCAUUUGUGUCCGACCGCAUGUCUCCGUGCAUGCGGCCCUCACUGACUUGGGGGUUGUGGGUUUCCACCGAACUUUUGGCCCGUUAGAACGGGACCGAUGGGACGAGAUGCUCCAAUGUACUGCUCUACACUCCCCCUCCAUGGAGGAAGAUUCGAUAUCUUGGUCCCUCGAACCAAGUGGGAUGUUUUCUACCAAAUCCCUAUACCACACUUUGCUAGCUACCCCGGGUCCAACUGAAAUGACCCUUCUUUGGGAAAUUAAGCUACCGUUAAAGAUUCGCAUCUUUCUAUGGCAAUGGGUGCGAGGCCGUUUACCCUCGGGUACGGAAGUUAGAAAGAGGAAUGGACCCGGGGAUGGUCUAUGCCCCCUAUGUAACGUACCUGAAGAUUCCAACCAUAUUUUCUUUCGAUGCCCGAUGGCAGUCUUCCUCUGGAGCUGCAUCAGGGAGGUGAUUGGUGGUGAUUGGGUCCAUGAUAACCUCCCCGAUCUGUUCCAGGCGGUCCUAAGCCGAGAGGCCAGGACGCGCCCUAGUCUGUGGGUAAUAUUGGGGACGAUGGCGUGGACCUUGUGGACGGCUCGCAAUAAGCUCGUGAUUGAGCAUGUGAUUCCAACUCGUACGACUGAUUCUAUCUACAAACUAUGUGGCUUCUUACAGCUAUGGAGACCGCUCAGCAAGCGAGGUGAUCGGGACUUCAUCGACAGUAUCAUUUCGGCUCUACGCACCACCGCCGGAGCAUUGGCGCCACCGCUCCCGCCUCCACCACCUGAGCUGGAUUAG